CUUCCUCCCAACUUUCCUCCCUUUGGUUGGGAGUGUGCAGCCACCAUCCCUUUCCGCCGCUGACCUUCCUCCAGACCUCACAGCGCGAGAGCAUUGCCUUUGGAUAAAGGAAGCUGACUGGCCUAGAGAAAUGUAAGAUGUUAUACUACCUUUGGUGUUAGACGACUGAAUAAUAUGAAGAUUGAAGCCCAGCCAUCUUGUAUCAAGGUGCCCCACUCUGAUGCCCAAUAAAAUGCAUCAUGUUACAGAGAGGAUUUGCUGAUCUAAAUUGUUUAAUGAUGCUAAAAUUGGAUACUUUCAAGUAAAUCAGGAAGAAAAUGUACCUGAGUGAGAGAACAGAGGUGCCAGGCUACACCUUGCAUAUCGAUGUCACCAUAGUUGACACAGCGUGUCCUGCUAUGCUAGAAAAAAUGAAGAGCUCACCAUCAGACAAGAAAACUUGGCAGAGCAGAGAUGAAAGCAGAGGUUCUGGUUGCAUCCAGUUCGAAUGAUAUCAUUAUAUCUGGGAAUAAAUACUAUGAUUUUUGGUCUCUGACCCCCAGGGGAAUAACCAUAACCCAUAAGCAUUUUCCAUUAUUUUGCAUUGUUAAGAGGGACUUUACAAAUGUUGACAUUGAAGAUCCAUAAUUCAUAUAUAUUUCUCUCCUGAUUCAUUUUUUUUAUUGUUCCUAUUUCUCCCAUGGAUCAUGUAGGUAACACUAAGACUAGUGCAUAAUUGCCUGUUUUGUUCUGUUUGCUAAUUACUUCACAAACAUUACUCUUAGAGGGCAUGGACUGUAUGUUAUC